GUCUCUAAUGAUGUUAAAAACUUUCGUUCUCCUGAGAAUAUUAACCAUGCUGAUAAACAUGGAGACCUGAACUGAAGAGAA